GAUGAACGCUGGCGGCGUGCUUAACACAUGCAAGUCGAACGGUGAACACGGAGCUUGCUCUGUGGGAUCAGUGGCGAACGGGUGAGUAACACGUGAGCAACCUGCCCCUGACUCUGGGAUAAGCGCUGGAAACGGCGUCUAAUACUGGAUAUGUGACGUGACCGCAUGGUCUGCGUUUGGAAAGAUUUUUCGGUUGGGGAUGGGCUCGCGGCGUAUCAGCUUGUUGGUGAGGUAAUGGCUCACCAAGGCGUCGACGGGUAGCCGGCCUGAGAGGGUGACCGGCCACACUGGGACUGAGACACGGCCCAGACUCCUACGGGAGGCAGCAGUGGGGAAUAUUGCACAAUGGGCGCAAGCCUGAUGCAGCAACGCCGCGUGAGGGAUGACGGCCUUCGGGUUGUAAACCUCUUUUAGCAGGGAAGAAGCGAAAGUGACGGUACCUGCAGAAAAAGCGCCGGCUAACUACGUG
rnacentral:rRNA from 1 species